GAUGAACGCUGGCGGCAGGCCUAACACAUGCAAGUCGAGCGAGCGGCGGACGGGUGAGUACUGUCUGGGAAACUGCCUGAUGGAGGGGGAUCACUACUGGAAACUGUCGCUAAUACCGCAUUCCCUCAGAUGUGCCCAGAUGGGAUUAGCGAGUAGGUGGGGUAACGGCUCACCUAGGCGACGAUCCCUAGCUGGUCUGAGCGGAUGACCAGCCAACAGGGAACUGAGACACGGUGCAGACUACUACGGGAGGCAGCAGGGGGGAAUAUUGAACAAUGGGCGAAAGGCUGAUGCAGCCAUGCUGCGUGUAGGAAGAAGGCCUUCGGGUUGUAAAGUACUUUCAGAGGUGAGGCGUUACCCGCAGAAGAAGCACCGGCUAACUCCGUGCCAGCAGCCGCGGUAAUAC
rnacentral:rRNA from 1 species